AGCUGUGUUAUGAAGGAGAGGCCUGAGGAAGGAGCUGCAUCUGAUACUGUGGAGAGAGAAAGGAUCCCUGACAGCUUUGAUUCGGGCAGUCCCUGGUGGCUGCAGCAGGGAGCAGCAGCUGACUCCAAGCCGUCCCCAGCUCCGGGAGUUCAGAUUCACGGUGAGACUCUGAAGAAUGCUGAGUAUUUCCUGUACUUUGGAAGCCAUCUCUCACAAAGCUGACAUCAAAGAAGAAAUUAAACAAGUGCAGGCUUCGGAUGCCUGAAGAAACGGGUAUUUGAAGAUCACAUCAGAUUCAAAACCAUGGUUUAUCAAGCAGUUGUGAUCCCUAUCUUACUGUGCAGAGCUGAGACACCUCAAGUCACUGGAGAAGGACCAUCCAUGUUGGUCGUGAAAGAUCCUUUGAAUCCAGUGGGAAGAGAAGUGCACCAGUGUUACUGUCUUCUAGCAAGCAAACACCAUGAACAACAAGGUGACAAUAGUUUGACAUCAACUUUGCUGAGAUGGUCAUGUCAUCCAGAUGUCCUACUCUAGACUCCCAAAGCAAGCUUUAUUCUCCCAGCUCGGUCCAGGUGAUUGCUCAAGAGGAGGCAGAGAAGGCAAAAUCAUCCUCAAGGCCAACUUGAAAAAAUGCAACAUUGACAUCAACUAGUGGGAAAUUAUCACCCAGGACUGCCCCAAAUGGAGAAAGAGUCUACUGCAAGGAUCCCAGCACUUUGAAAUCUCACGAUGACAACAGGAGAUGGAAAAGCAGGAGUGCCAGAAACAACAAGUCGCAGAUCAAACCAAGGAUCCCACAUGGAAACACGUGUCCAAGUCUCAGCAGAACCUGUUGUUCCUGGAUAGGACUUGUCAGCCGUCUUUGGGCCCAAAGAUAAGGCAGUCGUGGAAAACGAUCAUCCUCAACUGCGAGGGAUUGUCGGUCAUGAUGAUGUUGUUUUGUGCUAGCCAAAUAACUGGGCUGACAGACAGCCACUAAAUUGAGAUCUGGAUCCACAGUCCAGGUCUUUCUUUCCAGCUCAUCUCUCAUGACUAGCCAGGAAGUAGUUUGAGACCAGGGGGUACUGACCCCCCAAAAUUGGCUCUCAUUUAUUAAGAGAUUUCAUUUACAGCAACAUGAAACCUUGGUGAUUUGGCUUGUCUGCUUUUACUGAGUGUAGCUCUGGGGGCUUGAAUUAGGAUUUCAUAGAGAAGUUUAUGGUUGAGAUAUUAUAUUUAAAAAAAAAAAAAAAAAAAAGCCAAACAACAAUGAAGUGUAAUGUCAAAAUCCCCACGAACUACAAUGGCAGAAAUCGUACAAGAGUACAAAGCUCUUUUGCUACUCUAAUUUCCUUUCUCUUAGUAGCUACCUGCCCUUGUCAGUGCCACUGCAAGACCUUGGAUGUAUUUUCAGUAGGAAAUGCAAUGUGUUUUUAGCUCAUAUUGGCUAGCAUGGAGUACUUAGCAUAAGGUGAGAUCCUAAUGGAGAUGAGGUGGUUUGUAGUUUUAACAGGACCUAGCAGGUUGAAGCUGACUGCCCUGCGGUUUGAGCACAGAUCUGUGCCCAUCACACAGCUAAGAUCCUGCUCAACAGCCUCAGAUCUUCCCGGCUUGAUACUAACAUAUUCCUUAUAGUUGCCAGGGACAACCCACAUGUCUGUGCAGGAAGAACUGUGUUUAAAAAUGGUUAUCACAAGACAACUUUUUUUUUUUUUUUUUUUUUUUUUUU